GACGAACGCUGGCGGCGUGCCUAAUACAUGCAAGUAGAACGCUGAAGGAGGAGCUUGCUCUUCUGGAUGAGUUGCGAACGGGUGAGUAACGCGUAGGUAACCUGCCUGGUAGCGGGGGAUAACUAUUGGAAACGAUAGCUAAUACCGCAUAAGAGUAGAUGUUGCAUGACAUUUGCUUAAAAGGUGCAAUUGCAUCACUACCAGAUGGACCUGCGUUGUAUUAGCUAGUUGGUGAGGUAACGGCUCACCAAGGCGACGAUACAUAGCCGACCUGAGAGGGUGAUCGGCCACACUGGGACUGAGACACGGCCCAGACUCCUACGGGAGGCAGCAGUAGGGAAUCUUCGGCAAUGGACGGAAGUCUGACCGAGCAACGCCGCGUGAGUGAAGAAGGUUUUCGGAUCGUAAAGCUCUGUUGUAAGAGAAGAACGAGUGUGAGAGUGGAAAGUUCACACUGUGACG
rnacentral:rRNA from 1 species